CCCUUAGAUGUUCUGGGCCGCACGCGCGCUUCACUGAUGCAUUCAACGAGUCUAAAACCUGCUCUGAUAGGGGUGGGUAAUCUUUUGAAUGUGCAUCGUGAUUGGGAUAGAUGAUUGCAAUUUUUCAUCUUCAACGAGGAAUGCCUAGUAAACGCAAGUCAUCAGCUUGCAUUGAUUACGUCCCUGCCCUUUGUACACACCGCCCGUCGCUCCUACCGAUUGAAUGAUCCGAUGAAUAUCAUGGAUUGAGGAUGCAAGUAGGUUCGCCUAUCUUCAUCUUCGAGAAGUGAAGUAAAUCUUAUCAUUUAGAGGAAGGAGAAGUCGUAACA
rnacentral:rRNA from 1 species